rnacentral:rRNA from 1 species
UACGGAGGGAGCUAGCGUUAUUCGGAAUUACUGGGCGUAAAGCGUACGUAGGCGGCUUUGUAAGUAAGAGGUGAAAGCCCGGAGCUCAACUCCGGAACUGCCUUUUAGACUGCAUCGCUUGAAUCCAGGAGAGGUGAGUGGAAUUCCGAGUGUAGAGGUGAAAUUCGUAGAUAUUCGGAAGAACACCAGUGGCGAAGGCGGCUCACUGGACUGGUAUUGACGCUGAGGUGCGAAAGCGUGGGGAGCAAACAGG